ensembl:rRNA 5S_rRNA 5S ribosomal RNA
GCCAGCAGCCAUAUCACCCUGCGACUCACAACUGGCAGCCCACUGAAGCUAAGCAGGUGUGAGACUGGUCAGUACCUGGAUGGGAGACCUCCUGGGAAAAACUAAGGUUGCUGCUGGAA